rnacentral:rRNA from 1 species
GAUGAACGCUGGCGGCGUGCCUAAUACAUGCAAGUCGAGCGAACAGACGAGGAGCUUGCUCCUCUGACCUUAGCGGCGGACGGGUGAGUAACACGUGGAUAACCUACCUAUAAGACUGGGAUAACUUUGGGAAACCGGAGCUACUACCGGAUAAUAUAUUGAACCGCAUGGUUCAAUAGUGAAAGACGGUUUUGCUGUCACUUAUAGAUGGAUCCGCGCCGCAUUAGCUAGUUGGUAAGGUAACGGCUUACCAAGGCAACGAUGCGUAGCCGACCUGAGAGGGUGAGCGGCCACACUGGAACUGAGACACGGUCCAGACUCCUACGGGAGGCAGCAGUAGGGAAUCUUCCGCAAUGGGCGAAAGCCUGACGGAGCAACGCCGCGUGAGUGAUGAAGGUCUUCGGAUCGUAAAACUCUGUUAUUAGGGAAGAACAAAUGUGUAAGUAACUAUGCACGUCUUGACGGUACCUAAUCAGAAAGCCACGGCUAACUACGUG